AAGAUACACCGCAUUUACAUCAGUGAAUGCAUAGAAACAAAGGAUCUCCUAACAACAAUUUUCUAUGGCAUUGAUAAAAAAGAAAACAUUUCUACUGGUACUUGGGACAUCAACAUGCAUGACUUCUUCUGAUAUAUAUAGAAUCCCCAUUUCAGUGAAUAGUGAAAUUUACAAAUUAAAGUUCCUGCAUCUAGGAAAGUGUAGAGCUAGAGGAAUUGAAGAGGAGCGAUUGGAGAUUUGAAGAGCUGCG
rnacentral:lncRNA from 1 species